AGAAGAGAAGCUCGCGACCAACCUUGUCACCGUCAGCGCUGCGGGUUGCCGUCGCCAUCCUCGCAAGCUGCCACCGCGUUGCCGUUACUGAGCUGCAGCGCCGCCAUUGUCACACUCUGCUGCUGCCGUGUCUCACCAAGCCGCCGCUGGAGGAGGAAGGCUCGCCAGUUCUGCCUCUGCUUCUUAUUCCUAAAAUCUGACAAGAACGCCACUGCCCUGCUGGAGUUGCUGUUGAACCGUUAGAACCGCUACUAUUUUGUGGUUACCGUAAGUUACAUUGCCGCCGUUACUGGAGGUAGUUGUUGGCCCUGUUUGGAGAUUGCUGCUACCACUGGAAUCCCAAACCGGAAAGGAGAGGAGGCCGUUUAACCUAGUCACUGUCGCUGCCAUGGAAACAGGUGCUGGAAACUGCCAACAGAGCAAUUGCGUUUAGUGAUUUAUGCGAGUUUCAACACUGAGUGACACAGGUUUGAAGACACAGUUUGAAGCUGCUGGCGAUUAUAUAAUUUAUU